GGGGAGUGCCUUGAGAAAUCCGCUGAACAGCAAGAGCCCACUGAGUAUUCCACAUGUAAGGCCCUCCCACAGCUUGCAAGCCACUCAUGCUUCCCGAACUGUUCGCUGAAUUGGAGGUUGACUUUACAGCUGGUGUUGGAGCUUUCAAAAUAGGAGGUGCUAGACCAAAAAGGGCUAUAUAGAACCAAAGAUUACGGAAAAGCUUCAAAAGUGAGGGUUCCACAUCCAAAGUGGGAUCAAAAUCCGAACAUAUCUCCGCCACAGCAGGAAGAAGAGGCCCUAAAAAAUCCACACCACUCCUGGAAGAAAAGGAAACACUGUAUAAAUAUUCCAGUCAAUAUGAAGAACAAAAAAAACUUUUGAGGUGGAGAAACAUGAAGUGGAUAUUGUCCAAUUAUUCUAAGCUUUUAGGAAAAUUGUGGAGUGAAAAAUGAUUAUUUUAUCUAUGAUGUUAACAGCAUGACCAUAACAUUGAUCAUCCCUCAUGCAAUACUUAGCCCUUGCUAGGAGCGUAUAGGCCAGCAUAUUUCUCGUAAUUUGUACAGAUUUUCUUAUGUACAAAUACUUUAUUAGACUAACCAUAAACAGUGAAAAAACUCUGUGUUUAUACAAGCUAUAGAAAAGACGUCAUUUGUUAUUGACGUGCACAAAAAUAAAACAAAGGUAAAACAGAGAUGAUAAAAUCGACCUAAGCAACAUUAGAAAUUUUAAAACUCAACCUAGAGAUAAUAAAACUGCCAUGUUAAAUGACCAUAAAAAUAACAGACAAUAGCCCGGACAGUUCAUGCAUUGUGCAAAGGCGGUUCAUGUUAAAUCCUAAGGUGGACAAAACACUUAGAGAGCCAAUGAUAGUACAUAGUCAAGAAAAGAAAGUAAAGAAAAAAACAAAUGUUUGCCGCCAUAUCAAAGAUGUAUGGUGCAACACUCAAUGCCUCAUAUGAAGGAAAAAAAAAGGAAUUAGCAAAAGAUAACCUGUAUAUUCGAUCUUCCAAUAGCUGAAGCCCAGAUCUAAAUUUCUGCAUAUUGCCUUGUGUUUGGCAUGAGCAGAACUUCAGUCCAAGGAGCAUUAAAGAGAAAAAGGUACCAGCAGCAGCAGGGUGGCGAGUAAAGCACCAGUCAAGGUCUGUACUCCGUUGUAACAUCCUACCAAGCAGCAAUAGUUGCUCCGUGCUAUUAUGUCGAACAACCUAAAGAGGCAUUGGAUAAGAAACUCACUCAAAUAUCCUUCUAUGAUUCCUUAUUGAUCAGUUAGCAAAUUCUCAACUGAAACGAAAUCACUCCAAGACCACAAUUUUGACACCUGAGGUCUUUCAUAGAUAGAGAUAUUCGAUUUAACUAGUAUACUAACGCAAGUCAGCACUAGUAACACUCUAGACCGACUUAACGAAUGACUAUAAGAAUUGAGGUGAACCACCUACAUGUUCCUUCUUUAUAAGAAAAAGUAUAGAGAUAAAUCCUAACCUCAAAACGGUCAAUUAAAAAUCCAAGCCAUAGUCUGUGCGCGACUAUUUGGUCAACAGGAUCACUUUCAGGUGAUUCUUCUGGUUCCCCAGGGGCAAGAUGGGGCCUUAAUUUUGCAGCUGGGCCAGAGUACCGCACAUCAGACGCAAAGAGUCCUCGCUUUGUAUCAAUUGUCCAUAUCCAUGCAUCAACAAGCUCGGAAAGGACAAGAGAUACCAGUUGAGGAGCAGCAGAAACCAACCAGGUCCAAAUAAAAAUUCCAGUUUCCAUAGCAUCUGGAGUAGAUAUAUAAGCUGGACACCAACAAAGGAGACGCAGUAAUUGAGAAAAGCCUUCCACAUUUGUUUUUGACUCAGCCCCCUGAUGCAACAAUAAGAGAGAUUAGAAUGUACAACACAUAGUAGCUGGUUGAUACCCACAUAUGUGCUCCUCCACCCAUCUAUAUUUUUGAUUAGAAAACCUUACCAGGUUUGACAAAAGUAGUGCGGUUGCUUGAGAACAAGUUUCUCGGAAUUGCGACUUGUCCACCUCUCCGCCUUUUUCAGCAGUAUUAACAAAUUGCUGAAGGAGACGCACAAACCGCGCAAUUAACAUCUCAUUAAAUGAGUCAUCCUCUGGUUGUGGUGCCUGGGAAAAUGCCCCAGAUAUUAAUCUUUGAAGGCCACCACCAAAACCACUAGGCGUCGAGCUAGAUUGAAAGCCACCAAUACUGUUGUACAACCUUCGCAUGCCAGCAAUUUCUCCAGCAUGGUUGCACUUUACCGUUGCACUGACAACACCAGUACCAAGUACCUCCAAGUUAAAGGAUUCAGAAACUUUUACGUUUGCCCCUGAUGCUGCAGCUGCUGCAGCCAUCACCGCUGGAAUAUUUGCAGUUCUUAUACCAGACCAAAUUUCAUUUUUCCCAGUUCCAAUCAUUAUCUCAGAUAAAAGAGAAACGACGUCAGUUGUAGUUUGUGCUCGCUGCCAUGUGUUUGCCUUACACAGCUUAUCCUGAGGUGCAUAUUAAAACUCAGAGAAGUAACGUGAAACACUAUUGUAACUCAAAAGGAAAUUGCAAGAACAAUUAAAAAUAAGCACAAACCACUGAAAAGAUCCCUGCAAUGAGAAUAUUUGCAAAAUUAAUCCAUAGAACAAUAACUUAAGAGUUAAGCCCCUAGGUCCAAAGCAAUUAAGAGUUUGUACGUGGAACAAGAACAGACUCAUGACAAUCUCAGAAACUAACAUAAGAAACUGUAAAUGUAAAAGGGACCAUGGUACAGAAAUAAUACAGUAAUUACGGUAGUUAAAAAGAGAAAAAUUGAAUCCGAGCUGCUUGAAUCAUUUCGAGAAAAAAUAGUCUAAAACAAGAAACAAGUUCGUUAAAGACAGUAGAAGGAAGUAAAACAUGCCACUGCAAGAGAACAUAGACAGGAAUUAUAUCUCCACAUUAGGUCUCUGUUUGAAAAUGUCAAACUAACAGAUUGAACUGGAGAAAUAGAAAGCUGUCUUAAAAAGGAAAUUUGAAUGUGCAAAUAGAAGACAGUAUGAGUUGGUAAAAAGAAGGAAACCUGAAGCAAACCCUGACUGGUACAUGGAGCAUAUGAAAGCGAUAUUAUGAUCCAUUCUCGAACAACUUUCUGGUAUAAGGAUCGAACAGCAGCAGUCCAAGCGGGAUCAUUGACAACUGUUGAAGGUGUAUUAUUAUGAACAGAAAACAGUAAACUGUCCAGACACGACGAAUGCCAGAGGACCUGCAUUUUCUCAUUGUCAGUCAACAACGUAGCAGAUGGAAAAAUUCCUAAAGAACAGUUGAAGAAGGCAAAAGGCAAACAUACAGCGCACAGACAGAAGGCAAACACAGAAAGUCAGUAACAGUAGCAAAAUGCAGUAAUAAAAGAAACAGAGGGAGAAAAAUAAACUACUGGCUGUACAACGGAGAGGGAUAUGUAGAGGACAUUAAACAGUUAAAUAUAUAUAUGAUAGACGUUGAAACAGAAAUCACAAAAUACUUGAAAAUCCACAUUAAAAACAGACUACACCACUGGUGUAUAUGAGGAAAUUGAUCAUAUGUUAGAGAUAGAAAGAAACAGGAAACAGAAAAAGAAACCAGAAAAUGUACACCCAUUUACCUGAGGAAACUUGUCCCGUAGCUGAGUCAAUAGGUUCACAGAGAUAUCUCGAACGUGUUCAUCUCUCUGUGACAUACUCUUUAUGAGGAAACAAGCAUGUGCAUAGGUUGUCAGUUCUCUAUUAAGAGCAUCUUUCCCAGUAUGAGAUAUUCGAUCUUCCUGAAACCAGAUGAAAAUUGGUACAUUAUACUGUUGGAACUUUAGAAGCAGUAAGAAAACAGAAAGGCAGAGCUGGUGUUGGUGACAAAAAGACGAAAAUGCAUAUACAAAGGGGUAGAAGGAAUGAAUGCAAUAGAGUUGCAACCAAAAAACACUUGGCCAAAGAUGAGCUCAAAUAGUACGACCAGGUAUUUACAUACCAGCCAUGAGACAGCUGUUUCAAAGGAUCUAUGCACAAUUGCCGUCAAACACUGGGAAACAGCAGGAGUAAGAUUUGGAGUUUUCAGAUAUUCGAAGACACAGCUGAAGGCACUUCUAGAAGCAGAUACACUUGAGUCACCGUUAAGGAUACCCCCGUUGCUAAUAAAGCGUAUGAUUUCUAAUAACGCAACAGCAAGCAAAUAGGUAGCCUUCACUCCUGAAAGAAUUUAAAGAAAGAGAGAAAUUCUGAGUAUCUAAGAUAGCCACACUAAAAUCCAUCAAGCAGAUAUGGAACAAUAACUCCUUGUUUGUUUUACCAGAUAUGGUGUUCAUUGCUGCAACGUCAACUCGGCCACCUAAGGCAGUUGAAAGAGCAAGUCUCUGUGUUGAAGCUACUUUCUCAUUUCCAUUUCCUCGACGACUACCAGGAUUAUGAAGGGCGUUGAGUUCUAAUUCGUCUUCAAGCCAUUUUACAGAACUAACAACCUACAAAGAGCAAUGCUCGAAUAGUUAAAAUUAUAUUAAAGAGCAAAAGGAUCUCCUGGGAGAUGUAGACCCAAUAUUUAAAAGGCUUAUAAUCGGGUGAACCAUAAAUUAAACUCUAAAAAUGACCUUCUAGACUGACUUACAAGGGGGGGAGUGCCUUGAGAAAUCCGCUGAACAGCAAGAGCCCACUGAGUAUUCCACAUGUAAGGCCCUCCCACAGCUUGCAAGCCACUCAUGCUUCCCGAACUGUUCGCUGAAUUGGAGGUUGACUUUACAGCUGGUGUUGGAGCUUUCAAAAUAGGAGGUGCUAGACCAAAAAGGGCUAUAUAGAACCAAAGAUUACGGAAAAGCUUCAAAAGUGAGGGUUCCACAUCCAAAGUGGGAUCAAAAUCCGAACAUAUCUCCGCCACAGCAGGAAGAAGAGGCC
rnacentral:lncRNA from 1 species